CCCACUUGUUGAUCAGGACUGAGUACAGAGGGUUCACCAUGGAGCUGGCACUGAGCUGGAUUUUCUUGUUUGCAGUUUUCAAAGGUGUUCAGUGUGAGGUGACACUGGUGGAGUCCGGAGGAGGCUUGGUUCAGCCUAGCGGGUCACUGACACUCUCUUGUAUAGCCUCUGGAUUCACCUUUAGUAGUUAUGGCAUGCACUGGAUUUGCCAGGCUCCAGGGAAAGGGCUGGAGUGGAUCGCAUACCUCUAUAUCGAUGGUAGUAUUAAGUACUAUGCAGACUCCGUGAAGGGCCGAUUCACCAUCUCCAGAGACAAUGGCAAGAACAUGCUAUAUCUGCAAAUGAGCAGCCUGAGAUCCGAGGACACGGCCAUGUAUUAUUGUACAACACGCACAGUGAGGGAAUGCCACCAUGAGCCCAGACAAAAACCUCCCUGUAGGGAUGCCAAUACCCAGCGGGUGGCACUGUGCCAUUUUGAGAAAUUGGCUGGGCCCCAGGAGCAGGAAAAGCCUCAAGCCGAGAGUGGAGGGAGCACUGAUGGGGAGACGCUGGAUGACUGGAGGACAGAAGAGGUCCAACAUGAGGUCACAUCAUGCUCCUGGUGUCCACAAACCCCACAUGAUAACUUCAAAAGCCCUAGGGUCUGA